rnacentral:rRNA from 1 species
AGUUUGAUUAUGGCUCAGGAUGAACGCUGGCGGCGUGCCUAACACAUGCAAGUCGAACGAGCGAGAGAUGAAACCUAGUGAUUCUCGAGCGAGUGGCGGACGGGUGAGUAACGCGUGGGUAACCUGCCUUACAGAGGGGGAUAACAGUCUGAAAAGACUGCUAAUACCGCAUAAGCACACAGUACCGCAUGGUACAGGGUGAAAAGAUUUAUCACUGUAAGAUGGACCCGCGUCUGAUUAGCCAGUUGGCAGGGUAACGGCCUACCAAAGCGACGAUCAGUAGCCGACCUGAGAGGGUGAUCGGCCACAUUGGGACUGAGACACGGCCCAAACUCCUACGGGAGGCAGCAGUGGGGGAUAUUGCACAAUGGAGGAAACUCUGAUGCAAGCGACGCCGCGUGAGUGAAGAAGUAUUUCGGUAUGUAAAGCUCUAUCAGCAGGGAAGAUAAUGACAGUACCUGACCAAGAAGCCCCGGCUAACUACGUGCCAGCCGCCGC